UACGUAGGGAGCAAGCGUUGUCCGGAAUCAUUGGGCGUAAAGCGCGCGUAGGUGGCCCCGUAAGUCCGCUGUGAAAGUCAAAGGCUCAACCUUUGAAAGCCGGUGGAUACUGUGGGACUAGAGUACGGAAGAGGCGAGUGGAAUUCCUGGUGUAGCGGUGGAAUGCGCAGAUAUCAGGGGGAACACCAAUAGCGAAGGCAGCUCGCUGGGACGUUACUGACACUGAGGCGCGAAAGCGUGGGGAGCGAACAGG
rnacentral:rRNA from 1 species